GCCCCCGUAGCUCAGGAGGAUAGAGCAUCUGCCUUCUAAGCAGAGGGUCGGGCGUUCGAGUCGCCCCGGGGGUA
rnacentral:tRNA from 1 species